rnacentral:lncRNA from 1 species
AGGACAAAGUGGGGCGAGGAUUUUGGAGAGGUAGCCGUGUUCCUGAGCAGUGGGAACAUUUGCUACCUUUGGGAGCAAGGAGCACAUAUCCUUGGCUUCUGCUGACGUGUGUCUGUCCCAUUGCAGAACUCCAAGAUGAUGGAUAUGCUUGCCUUCAACGGCAAAAACAGAUAUACUCGCAUCAGUGGAAAUACGUUCCUCACACUACCAACGCUUAUACUUCGGGACCCACGACGCAAAGCAGUUUGCAUCAAGCCCAGAAGGGAUCCGCAGCCUUGGGGCAUGGGUGGCCGAAAAUUGAGUGUGCUGGACCCGGUGGUGAUGGCUCGGAUUAGGGUUUCUCAAGCCAAGAGGGCAGAGAAGAAAAGAAAGGAGGAGGCAGACAAGCAGCGUGAACAAGCCAGAUUCCUGCCACCAAUUCAUGAGAGGUCUGAGGAGGAGCUGAAGAAACCAACACCUUCAGCUUAUCAACGGUCAUCCAUAAUCCCGGCUUGUUAUAAGGACACUCCACCAAUGAAAUAUUUCUGCCAAAUACUCAAGUGCACACGAGUUCCUACCCACAUCGUGAGAAAGGAGUAUGAUCAGAUGCUGAAGCGGAGAAUAAAGGACAAGUUGAAAGGCCAAAUGCCUACGAGCCUGAAGGCACCAAAGGGGUGGCAGCAAGUGCCACAGCAACCGAGGACAGCACAGAAAAAGUAAGUGUGCACCGGUCCAGCUGAGACCCGGAAACAGCCCUGGAGGCCAUGACCCGUGUUCUGGGGUUCCACGGCUUGUCGUCUUCCCCUUCCUCGUGACAUGGGAAGGAGCUGGGUGCGAUGGCAACCCAGGGAUCUCUCUGAACCCCACAACCGAGGCAUGACACAGGUCCCAAGGGGAAGGCUGUGGGUGCAAAGGGCCAAGGCAGCUGUGUCUGAUGGUGUGCGUCUGCUUGGGUUGUAACAACACACCCCACAGCUAGGGGCCUGAGUGAGGCCUUGGGACAUUUCUGUCCCUUCUUCCCCACACAAGUG